rnacentral:rRNA from 1 species
GGCCGCGCCCCGGCUUCGGCGGGGGAGCGCCCGCCAGAGGAUUCUACAAACCUGAUUAUUAGUGUCGUCUGAGUACUAUAUAAUAGUUAAAACUUUCAACAACGGAUCUCUUGGUUCUGGCAUCGAUGAAGAACGCAGCGAAAUGCGAUAAGUAAUGUGAAUUGCAGAAUUCAGUGAAUCAUCGAAUCUUUGAACGCACAUUGCGCCCCGUGGUAUUCCGCGGGGCAUGCCUGUUCGAGCGUCAUUAUGACCAAUCCCGCUCGCGGGGUCUUGGGCACCGCCUCUGGGCGGGCCUCAAAAUCAGUGGCGGUACGGCCGGGCUCUGAGCGUAGUAAAUCUUCUCGCUACAGGGUCCCGGGCGGCACUGGCCAGCAACCCCCAAUCUUUUACAGGUUGACCUCGGAUCAGGUAGGGAUACCCGCUGAACUUAAGCAUAUCAAUAAGCGGAGGAAU